GUUAAAGCAUGGGUCACCAAACUAAGGCCCGCGGGCCGAAUCAGGCCCGCCACCCCCCUUUGACUGGCCCCCCAACCCCUCUGCCCCCCACUACUUGAACCGGCAAUCCCCAAAAGUCGUCAUGCUUUGAUGUUAUUUGUAUUCGAAAAUAAAUAAAUGGAAUAUC